rnacentral:rRNA from 1 species
UACGGGAGGCAGCAGUGGGGAAUAUUGCACAAUGGGCGCAAGCCUGAUGCAGCCAUGCCGCGUGUAUGAAGAAGGCCUUCGGGUUGUAAAGUACUUUCAGUCGUGAGGAAGGUGUUAAGGUUAAUAACCUUAGCAAUUGACGUUAGCGACAGAAGAAGCACCGGCUAACUCCGUGCCAGCAGCCGCGGUAAUACGGAGGGUGCGAGCGUUAAUCGGAAUUACUGGGCGUAAAGGGCACGCAGGCGGUUAAUUAAGUUGGAUGUGAAACUCCCCGGGCUUAACCUGGGAAUGGCAUUCAAGCUGGUUAGCUAGAGUCUUGUAGGAGGGGGUAGAAUUCCAUGUGUAGCGGUGAAAUGCGUAGAGAUGUGGAGGAAUACCGGUGGCGAAGGCGGCCCCUGGACAAAGACUGACGCUCAUGUGCGAAAGCGUGGGGAGCAAACGAGGGAUUAGAUACC